AGAGUUUGAUUCUGGCUCAGGAUGAACGCUAGCUACAGGCUUAACACAUGCAAGUCGAGGGGUAGCAGGGUAGCAAUACCGCUGACGACCGGCGCACGGGUGAGUAACACGUAUCCAACCUUCCCAUAACUCAGGGAUAGCCUUUCGAAAGAAAGAUUAAUACCUGAUAGUACUUUUUCAAGGCAUCUUGAGAAAGUUAAAGAUUUAUUGGUUAUGGAUGGGGAUGCGUUCCAUUAGAUAGUUGGUGAGGUAACGGCUCACCAAGUCUUCGAUGGAUAGGGGUUCUGAGAGGAAGGUCCCCCACAUUGGUACUGAGACACGGACCAAACUCCUACGGGAGGCAGCAGUGAGGAAUAUUGGUCAAUGGGCGAGAGCCUGAACCAGCCAAGUAGCGUGAAGGAUGAAGGUCCUAUGGAUUGUAAACUUCUUUUAUAGUAGAAUAAAGUGAUCCACGUGUGGAUUUUUGUAUGUAUACUAUGAAUAAGGAUCGGCUAACUCCGUGCCAGCCGCAGC
rnacentral:rRNA from 1 species